UACGAAGGGGGCUAGCGUUGCUCGGAAUUACUGGGCGUAAAGGGCGCGUAGGCGGCGCAUUUAGUCAGGCGUGAAAGCCCUGGGCUCAACCUGGGGACUGCGCUUGAUACGGGUGUGCUAGAGGACGGAAGAGGGUCGCGGAAUUCCCAGUGUAGAGGUGAAAUUCGUAGAUAGUUGGGAAGAACACCGGUGGCGAAGGCGGCGACUCGUCGGUACCGUA
rnacentral:rRNA from 1 species